GAUGAACGCUGGCGGCGUGCCUAAUACAUGCAAGUCGAGCGAACGGACGAGAAGCUUGCUUCUCUGAUGUUAGCGGCGGACGGGUGAGUAACACGUGGAUAACCUACCUAUAAGACUGGGAUAACUUCGGGAAACCGGAGCUAAUACCGGAUAAUAUUUUGAACCGCAUGGUUCAAAAGUGAAAGACGGUCUUGCUGUCACUUAUAGAUGGAUCCGCGCUGCAUUAGCUAGUUGGUAAGGUAACGGCUUACCAAGGCAACGAUGCAUAGCCGACCUGAGAGGGUGAUCGGCCACACUGGAACUGAGACACGGUCCAGACUCCUACGGGAGGCAGCAGUAGGGAAUCUUCCGCAAUGGGCGAAAGCCUGACGGAGCAACGCCGCGUGAGUGAUGAAGGUCUUCGGAUCGUAAAACUCUGUUAUUAGGGAAGAACAUAUGUGUAAGUAACUGUGCACAUCUUGACGGUACCUAAUCAGAAAGCCACGGCUAACUACGUGCCAGCAGCCGCGGUAAUACGUAGGUGGCAAGCGUUAUCCGGAAUUAUUGGGCGUAAAGCGCGCGUAGGCGGUUUUUUAAGUCUGAUGUGAAAGCCCACGGCUCAACCGUGGAGGGUCAUUGGAAACUGGAAAACUUGAGUGCAGAAGAGGAAAGUGGAAUUCCAUGUGUAGCGGUGAAAUGCGCAGAGAUAUGGAGGAACACCAGUGGCGAAGGCGACUUUCUGGUCUGUAACUGACGCUGAUGUGCGAAAGCGUGGGGAUCAAACAGGAUUAGAUACCCUGGUAGUCCACGCCGUAAACGAUGAGUGCUAAGUGUUAGGGGGUUUCCGCCCCUUAGUGCUGCAGCUAACGCAUUAAGCACUCCGCCUGGGGAGUACGACCGCAAGGUUGAAACUCAAAGGAAUUGACGGGGACCCGCACAAGCGGUGGAGCAUGUGGUUUAAUUCGAAGCAACGCGAAGAACCUUACCAAAUCUUGACAUCCUUUGACAACUCUAGAGAUAGAGCCUUCCCCUUCGGGGGACAAAGUGACAGGUGGUGCAUGGUUGUCGUCAGCUCGUGUCGUGAGAUGUUGGGUUAAGUCCCGCAACGAGCGCAACCCUUAAGCUUAGUUGCCAUCAUUAAGUUGGGCACUCUAAGUUGACUGCCGGUGACAAACCGGAGGAAGGUGGGGAUGACGUCAAAUCAUCAUGCCCCUUAUGAUUUGGGCUACACACGUGCUACAAUGGACAAUACAAAGGGCAGCGAAACCGCGAGGUCAAGCAAAUCCCAUAAAGUUGUUCUCAGUUCGGAUUGUAGUCUGCAACUCGACUACAUGAAGCUGGAAUCGCUAGUAAUCGUAGAUCAGCAUGCUCUUUAAGUACGUUCCCGGGUCU
rnacentral:rRNA from 1 species